GUAAAUGGAGAGAACACCGGACGCGUUCAUCUGUAUUCAAUUUUGGAACACUACAUGUUAUACUCUGAACACCGAUGUUUAGUACAAGUGUUCUGUGUACGAUUUGAACGCUUAAUUUGAACGCCAGCAUUCAAUAUUAUAUCGCCUUUCAAGAAAAGUCUAGACAUAUUUUACUGUUUUGAGUUUUAAUGAACUAGGGGUAAGUUAUUUUACCGAUAUAUUGUUAAUUGAAGUUUCACUGAAUGCAUAAAAAUCAAAUAACUAUACGAAAACAUUGACAGGUAAUUCUAUAUGAACAGGGGCAUUCAUUGCAUGUUCUAUCUGAGAACGCCGGUGUUAUGUCUAAAAAUAGAAUUUUUCAAGAAAGCGUCUAUCAGUACCGUGAGUACGUCAUCAACACGCGUCUAAAGUUUGGCGGAAACAGGAAACUGGAAGGAUAAUGUGUUAUGAAGUCACAUCUUGAGCAGGUGCAGUUGGCUGCUUAUUCAAACAAUGAAACUGUCUGAUAGCUCUACAUAAAGCGUAUAACGAACAAAAGUUGAAACUAAGUUUGAUCGGAAUAAGAAGGGCAUAUGUCAUUUCCAGACUCCUAAAGUCAUCACUGAGGUUGUUAAAGAACAGGACUUUGAGGUCACAUUGGAGGUAAAAGAAAACACUCCUCCAAAAUUAGUGAUAUUUACCAGAAAUGACAAAGCAGAGACAGCCUAUUUAGUAUGAAAUUGUACUGCCACUAGGUGCAAUAGGGAGAGUACAGUGUUAUUUGCAGUUCAGUUAUUUGCAACAUUCUGUGUUUUCGACAUUGAAUAUCAUUCUUAAGCAAUGUCUUUAGGAUUUGUGCAGCAAUUUGUAUUUGAAGAACAGUAUACAAAUGAAAGUUAAGAAAAUCAUUUUUCUGUGAGAAGUAUAGAACAGUAUUUAAAUAAAUGAGUUACAUGGUUAAGGUAUUGGGAGGAUAAUAAAAUUAGCAGUCACCCUUUCUUUUGAAAUAUCAUUCUGGUUUGUAUUUUGCUGAAAUCAAAUGCAGCAGUUCAAGACAGAGAAUAGUUUUCAGUAAUGCUAAUACCACUGGUCUCUUCUGAGCAGAUAGAUUGACAUUUUUCAAAUAAUAUUACUGGGAUUUUCAAAAUAGUGUUUUUGGUACUGAGCAGGGACAUAUUUUACAAAAUUGACUUAUUGUUACUGAACAAAUUGAUUGGCAUUCUCAAAAUGUUACUAUUAGUUCUGAGCAGACAUGUUGGUACUUUCUAAAUGCAACUGGGACUGGGCAGGUUUUUAACA